rnacentral:rRNA from 1 species
AUUGAACGCUGGCGGCAGGCUUAACACAUGCAAGUCGAGCGGGCGAGGUUGCUUCGGUAACUGAGCUAGCGGCGGACGGGUGAGUAAUGCUUAGGAAUCUGCCUAUUAGUGGGGGACAACAUUCCGAAAGGAAUGCUAAUACCGCAUACGCCCUACGGGGGAAAGCAGGGGAUCUUCGGACCUUGCGCUAAUAGAUGAGCCUAAGUCAGAUUAGCUAGUUGGUGGGGUAAAGGCCUACCAAGGCGACGAUCUGUAGCGGGUCUGAGAGGAUGAUCCGCCACACUGGGACUGAGACACGGCCCAGACUCCUACGGGAGGCAGCAGUGGGGAAUAUUGGACAAUGGGCGCAAGCCUGAUCCAGCCAUGCCGCGUGUGUGAAGAAGGCCUUUUGGCUGUAAAGCACUUUAAGCGAGGAGGAGGCUACUUGGAUUAAUACUCUAGGAUAGUGGACGUUACUCGCAGAAUAAGCACCGGCUAACUCUGUGCCAGCAGCCGCGGUAAUACAGAGGGUGCGAGCGUUAAUCGGAUUUACUGGGCGUAAAGCGUGCGUAGGCGGCUUCUUAAGUCGGAUGUGAAAUCCCUGAGCUUAACUUAGGAAUUGCAUUCGAUACUGGGAAGCUAGAGUAUGGAAGAGGAUGGUAGAAUUCCAGGUGUAGCGGUGAAAUGCGUAGAGAUCUGGAGGAAUACCGAUGGCGAAGGCAGCCAUCUGGCCUAAUACUGACGCUGAGGUACGAAAGCAUGGGGAGCAAACA